rnacentral:rRNA from 1 species
UACAGAGAGUGCAAGCGUUAAUCGGAAUUACUGGGCGUAAAGCGCACGUAGGUGGAUAUUUAAGUCGAAUGUGAAAGCCCCGGGCUUAACCUGGGAAUUGCAUCCGAUACUGGAUGUCUAGAGUAUGGUAGAGGGAAGUGGAAUUUCCGGUGUAGCGGUGAAAUGCGUAGAUAUCGGAAAGAACAUCAGUGGCGAAGGCGGCUUCCUGGACUAAUACUGACACUGAGGUGCGAAAGCGUGGGGAGCAAACAGG